CCUACGGGUGGCUGCAGUGGGGAAUAUUGGACAAUGGGGGCAACCCUGAUCCAGCCAUGCCGCGUGUGUGAAGAAGGCCCUCGGGUUGUAAAGCACUUUCAGUGAGGAAGAACGCCUGGUGGUUAAUACCCAUCAGGAAAGACAUCACUGACAGAAGAAGCACCGGCUAACUCCGUGCCAGCAGCCGCGGUAAUACGGAGGGUGCGAGCGUUAAUCGGAAUUACUGGGCGUAAAGCGCGCGUAGGUGGCUUGAUAAGCCGGUUGUGAAAGCCCCGGGCUCAACCUGGGAACGGCAUCCGGAACUGUCAAGCUAGAGUGCAGGAGAGGAAGGUAGAAUUCCCGGUGUAGCGGUGAAAUGCGUAGAGAUCGGGAGGAAUACCAGUGGCGAAGGCGGCCUUUUGGACUGACACUGACACUGAGGUGCGAAAGCGUGGGUAGCAAACAGGAUUAGAUACCCUAGUAGUC
rnacentral:rRNA from 1 species